AGAGUUUGAUCAUGGCUCAGGAUGAACGCUGGCGGCAGGCUUAACACAUGCAAGUCGAGGGGUAUAGGUUUUCGGACCUAGAGACCGGCGCACGGGUGCGUAACGCGUAUGCAAUCUACCUUUUACAGAGGGAUAGCCCAGAGAAAUUUGGAUUAAUACCUCAUAGUAUUAUUGAAUGGCAUCAUUUAAUAAUUAAAGUCACAACGGUAAAAGAUGAGCAUGCGUCCCAUUAGCUUGUUGGUAAGGUAACGGCUUACCAAGGCAACGAUGGGUAGGGGUCCUGAGAGGGAGAUCCCCCACACUGGUACUGAGACACGGACCAGACUCCUACGGGAGGCAGCAGUGAGGAAUAUUGGUCAAUGGGCGCAAGCCUGAACCAGCCAUGCCGCGUGCAGGAUGAAGCAUCUAUGGUGUGUAAACUGCUUUUGUACGAGAAGAAACACUCCUACGUGUAGGAGCUUGACGGUAUCGUAAGAAUAAGGACCGGCUAACUCCGUGCCAGCAGCCGCGGUAAUACGGAGGGUCCAAGCGUUAUCCGGAAUCAUUGGGUUUAAAGGGUCCGUAGGCGGUUUUGUAAGUCAGUGGUGAAAGCCCAUCGCUCAACGGUGGAACGGCCAUUGAUACUGCAAGACUUGAAUUAUUGGGAAGUAACUAGAAUAUGUAGUGUAGCGGUGAAAUGCUUAGAGAUUACAUGGAAUACCAAUUGCGAAGGCAGGUUACUACCAAUAUAUUGACGCUGAUGGACGAAAGCGUGGGGAGCGAACAGGAUUAGAUACCCUAGUAGUCC
rnacentral:rRNA from 1 species